CCAAUUUACAGUGUCCACCUCCAUCAUCCCAGGGAUGUCUUUCAUCAACAGUUUUCUUCUUGGCCUUAAUAGUUCAAUUUGUACUUACCAUAGGAUACAUGGUCUAUAGAUCUAAUAAAGAAGCUCAAGCUAAAAAGUUUUAUUAAAAAAGUCUCCCAUAGAAUGUUGUCUGUACUGUAGAGGUGCCUGAGGGUGCUUCAGUAAGAGAGCUUCAGGUCAUCAAAUGAUAUAUUUCAAUUUCUUCCAUUUCAGUUCCCAUUCCCAUCACCCAACUUAUAUCAAAUAUUUAGAUCAGAAAAUGUUUCAAUUCUCAUUUUAAUUCAUUUAUACAACUUAUAUUUUGUUUCUAUUUCAAUCUGAUGAUGUUAGAUUGGCUUGUCAGGUCAAGUCAGAGCAUUUAGAGCAAAAGUUUGUAGGAAAUGUUGACUGACUUUGUGUUCUUUAAGUGUUAAUUUUGUAGACAUAAAUUCAUAAUGUUUUAAUGGCUUUGACUGACGCAAGGAUGUGGAGUGUGUGUGUGUGAUGCAAUGAGCUGACACAGUCAUUCCUGGAUGUUGUAUAUUAUUCGUGUCGACUUUUGAGCUUGUGCCGUCUGUUUAUUUGGGCCAAGGUAAUGUUAUUGUGAUAUUCUUUGUGAUUAGGAUCAAAACUAUAAAGUGUGCUUGCUCACCCAUUUUACUGGUUGAUCUGGUCUACAGCUACAUUGUGAGAUGAACCUUGAAUCAAAGCUGUUGUUAUAUUUCAAUAUUUAUUUCUUGGAGACAAGUUUUGUGUAUCAAAAAUGUUCAUGACAGUUUGCCUUUGUCCUCAGAGAAAAUUACUUGAACCUUGGCAGCAUUGAUUUGAGAGCAUAUAUAUCUUUCUAUAUAUGUAUGGAUGUCAUGUACAUGCCUAUGGUUUCUUGUACAAAAUAUUUACUAGCACUUUUUUUUCUUAUUAGGUGAGGGUGUAAGUGUGUGUUUUUUUAAUUUACUUUGGAUACAAGUUUUAUUUUACUUGAAAAGUGUUUUGUCAACGCAUUUGGUUUUCAUUCUACUCAAUUUUUUUAGACUUUGUUGAAUGGUCUGUAUGUGGAGGAUUGAAUAACUAAAGGUGGCACAAUGAUCCCAAGCUAGACUUAAAGGAUUGAUUUUGAGUCUUAGUUGAGGCUUUGGGUGUCUUUUAUUAAAUACAAUAUAUUUUGAAAGAGGGUUGUUCUGGUUACAUGACACUUUCAUGAACUGUUGAUUAGGAAACUAAAUGGCUUGAAAGGAAAGUUUGUUAUCCAAAGAAUGUAUUAUAAAAAGAUAAUUUCAUACCAAGGCCUAGCAUAUAUGAACCAAGUCUCCUUCAGUGUCAUCUAUAUGGAUGAUGUAGUUGGAUGGUUAUAUUUUUAUGAGUCAAAACUUUUGCUUUAAUUUUAUUGACAUCAUUUGUUGACAUAAAUCAUUUCUAUGUUCAAUUGACUGUUUAUUGAAGCUUUACACUUGUGCCAACGAGCACAGAAUUAACUUUUGUUCUCUUCUUGAUAUUAAUUCUGGAGAUUAACAGAUAUAAGAUAUGUACAAGGUGGACAACUUUAUUUUCCUAUCCUAUUUAUUUACUAAAGACUCUGUACAGAAGGUAAAACAUGAGUCUUGUGCUGCUUUCAGUCAGUGUUGGCUAAUGGUCACAAAACUAAUGUUCAGACUAUGGGUAUAGCAUGAGCUUAGUAUGUAUAAGAAUAAAUACUGGGAUUAUAAGUUUUUUAGUUUGUUUUUUUAAAUACAGAUACCGGUACAAGAAAGAAAUACAAAUAUGUAGCAAUCUACAAUUCCAUUGAGAUUUUAGUUUACUGAUGAUUUUAUUGGCCUUCUUGUCUUUUGUACUUGUGUAAAACAAUAUACUGAGUUCAGUAAAAAUGUUGACAUGAAAUAUUUCUGUCUCAUUGUCAAACCUAUUUUAUUCUUGUCCCAAAAAAAAGGGUGUAGCUAAAUUUUAAGUUUUCUAGAAUGAAAAUAUACCUGUAUUCAAUUAUACAAAGUAAUUUUAAAAGAAUAACUAUAUAUUGAAUAUCUUGUGACUAUGUUUUCGAGUCAGUGUAGAUGAGAAAUGCAAUUCAAUAAAAAGAACCAAUUAUUGAAAAUGGCACAUCUUAUCACAUGGCAAACUAGUCUGUAUUCAACUCUACAUGUAUUUGUAAAUGUUCUAGUCAGAUCUGGUUACAGUGAGCUACUUACAAUCAUUUUGACUAGCCCUAACAUUGUGUAUGUAAUGGUGUGUUAGUUUUGUCACCAUACUCCUGGCUGUUAGUCAAGAUACACUGAUAGUGCCUAAUGAGUUCUGACUAAACAUGUGUGUGAAGAGUGUGAUCCCUAGUGAGAUGUAUCCAAAGCAUGGUGGCAUCACAUGCUGGUAGUGUUGAUGGUCUCCUCUUUAGAAUGAUUAGCUUUAAAACUAUUUUAUCUUUGGUUGUUCAAUAUAUGUUGUUCAUUUGGUGUAUGUGCGUAAGUGUCAAUCUGUUCAUUAAAGCUUUAAAAGGAAUCAUUCAUGUGAAAAUGUGCAGAGAUAACCUUCUAAAGAUACUUUAUUUGUAUUCACAUGGGAGGAAAUGGCAUAACAAUUCUUAUUCUAUUAGCCCUCUAGAUGGAACUUUUCAAGGCUCGAGUCUAUUGAUUUUUUUUUAGAACAAAUGCUAUGUGUAGGUCCUUUAUUAAUAUCACAAAUAAAUCUCAAUUAUUCAACUGCCAUUAUUUCACAAAAAUGUUUACUCUCUGACCAUAACACAAAAACAUUUUUUUUAAAGUUCUCAUGCCUGAAAAAAAUGUGCAUUUGAUUGUCUAUGGAUAACCAUGUAAGAGCACUGCUACUAUAGUGGAUAUAAGUAAAAAAAAAAAAAAUAGACUAAUCUAGAUGUGCAUAUCUAUCUGGUGCAUAAGAAAAGUAUUUGUUUGCCCCAUAUGAUAAAUUCCAUUGAUAUUCUUCUCUUAGCAAUUAUCAAAUUUCUACUGUCAAUCAAAAGUAUCUACUCUUAAAACUAAUCAAAACAAAAUAAGUUAUUUAGUUGUACGAAAGUUAUCAAAGCAUCUAUUGUAUUGUUUUCAAAUGUGUUAAGUGUAUGUGUUGAUUUGGUGGUCAGAUUUCUGUUCUUUUGGUGAUGGGUCAUGAGUACUGCUGUACUAAAUGAAGUAAUAAACAUUCAAUUGUCA
rnacentral:sRNA from 1 species